UACGGAGGGUGCAAGCGUUAUCCGGAUUCACUGGGUUUAAAGGGUGCGUAGGCGGCUUGAUAAGUCCGUGGUGAAAGCCAACAGCUCAACUGUUGAACUGCCAUGGAUACUGUCAGGCUUGAGUACAGACGAGGUAGGCGGAAUGGAUCGUGUAGCGGUGAAAUGCAUAGAUACGAUCCAGAACUCCGAUUGCGAAGGCAGCUUACUAGGCUGUAACUGACGCUGAGGCACGAAAGCGUGGGGAUCAAACAGG
rnacentral:rRNA from 1 species